GUCCUUGCUGAGGAAUUGCAGCAAUGCGGCCACUGCUGUUGUCAGCUGCUGUCUGCAUGCUGGCUUGAGCCACAAGUGCAGAGGGCAGGUUUGGGGUCAUGUGGCCAGAGGGUCCUGGAACAACAGCUACAAACACAUCAGCAAGAGGCUGGCUUUGCCUGACAGCUCUUGUUCUGACCUGCCUUCUGUACACCAGGAAGUGCUACAGGGUCUGUGCUGGAAGAGCAGUAAUGACGGUGCUGCCUGGAGCUGCGCACAGCCCCUCCAGUUCUGCAGGCUCCAUGUUCCCUGCAGGGAAAAGCAUCCCACGUGCUGCUGCUCUUUGCUGAGGCUUAAUCUGUGCUUGUGGUUUUCUGGGCCUCUCUGCUUGUCUUUUCUGGGGAAAAAAUCUCCAGUGAAGGCAGCUUGUUAGCUGUUCUAGGUCUGGAAUACACGCUCAAAUGUUGGUCUUCCUGGUGCAACCUGCACAACAGAGAUUCACGUGGGGUGACCUCUGGGAGAGAGCAGCAGACGUAGAGCAGUGUUGCUGUAGGUGAGGUAGGGCUUGGCUUGGGAGCUGUGCAGCUUCACCAUCAUCUCUCCCUGCGCUUUCCUUCUUGCUCCAAACUCACUGCAGAGCUGGAGGGCAGAAAGAGCAGCAUGCUGCAACAGGGAAGAACGUGUGUGAACAUUGCUCGGAGUUGUGCUGUGGGAUGCUGGAGGGCACGUGGCCCACUGUGCAAGGCUGGAGAUGUCCCACUUGGGCAGGUCCCGUGUCCAGGGAUAGGGAGGAAUGGCUGAUUGCAGAUAAUGUUUUUCUGUGCUCCUUUCUGACAGUUCAGCUGGCGCGGAUGGCCAAGGGAAAGUGUUUACAAACGUCUGUGCUGAGCACUGCGGUAUGCCAGGAGUUUACUCUUCGUCUGGGUGACGUCUUUGCUGGGCCUUUGUCAGUACAACUACAGCUAAGCUGAUCUCGCUCUCCUUGUUCUGACCUGCAGGUGGUACCACAUGGGCACCUCCAAAGCAGCCAAAUUGCACCGCAGUAGAAUAAACGAGUUGGUGUCUAAACUUGUGUGUGGAAUCCUCAUCAGGUCUUUGGCUGUGCUGUGGAAAGGCUCAGGCCCUCGCCAGCUUCUUGAGAGCCCCAUCACCCACCUACAGGUACACAAAGCAUACCAGACCUCCACAGUCUUCUGCCACAGUCCCCCUCUGUGCUGUCCCCAUCCCUACCCCAUGUGCCACUCUGCAGCACUGUUGGUCACUGAAUGAAUCCCACGCACUCUCUGCUAGUGGUACAUCUCCAAAUUCUCAAAAUGCCACCUUGAAGAUCACACUGAAGCUACUCACUUUUUCUAGGCCUUCUUACCUUAUGCAUCCUGAUAAACCCCAACCCCUUUCCCUGAAGUCU
rnacentral:lncRNA from 1 species